AUGUCGCUGGAAGAGUUUCGGGCGUGGGGGGAGCACAUGCGCGCGAUGGCGGAUCACGGGUCUUUGGUGUGGGCGGAGCGCAUGGCGGCGGCAAUGGCGGGCGGCGACGAGAAGAAGAUGAAUAUGCUUCGCGUGAUCUACAUGCAGUACAAGGAUGAGGAGGAUAUGCGUCGGGAAUCACGCAUGGUGGUUCGAGCGGCUUUGAAGGAGGAACAGAUUCGGAUCAAGGAUAAGUCGCCGCUCGAGAUCAUCUAUUGGGCGAUGGAGGAGGGAAAAUACUAUGAUAUGCGGCGCGCGUGGUGGAAACGUGAGCCGGAUGAUUGGUUUCCAUCCUACACAGCCAGUGAUGGUGUGAGGGUGGUGAUCAUGACGGCUAGGUCGCCGCCACGCAGUCGGGCGGUGCCCGUCGUGACCGUCAACGGCGUGCGGGUGGUGCCGAGGCGAAAGGUGGCCCGGGUGGUUUCACAGCUGCCGCGUCGCUCUCCUCGGUUCCCCCGACGUUCUGCACGGAUCCAGGCGCUUGCACGGAGCGCUGGUGAUGAGUAG
rnacentral:rRNA from 1 species